rnacentral:lncRNA from 1 species
AAUUAUGAUGUUCAUUUAUAUCUCUACUCUUUAUUUGAGAAGUUAGACCCCUCCCUUCUUGGAUAAGACACUAAAAAGAAUAUUCUUUGUUCAUUUUAUACGAUUCUUUCAAAAGAAAUUAAUUGUAUUUAUUAUACUCAUUAGCUAUACUAUACAUCUAUUUUCAAAAAUUGAUAUAUUUGUUUCAAAAUUAGUGUACAUAUUUUUUAACAAAAAUCUAUUUUUGUUGAUUUAACUUUUGAUUAUAUUUAAGAACGAAUGAAUCAUCGUAUUAUAUAAUAACAAAUGAUAUUUAUAAAUUAUUUUUUAAUAAUUUUUGUGAUAAAUUUAUCUUAUACUCACAUCAUAUCUUUUACUUUCUUUAUAUAUUGUUUUGGUUUUUUUAUUAAUACCUCAAUUUCUUUGUAAAUUAUGGUUGCCUAAUGAGCUAUCGUUGAAAUGAUUGUUCAAAUAACGUAACAAUAAUAUAAUUCUCUUUCAUGAAUAGUAGAUUUAAUAUUUUAAUAUUAAUUUAAUAUCUGGCACGUUAUUUAAUACACUACUGUACUUGAUGGAGUAUAGUACAUACCAUUUGCCAAUGACGUGUUUAGCCAUUCAUAAGUUAGCACACGUGAUUUUCACACACUAAUGUCAGAAUGACGAAUUGCUAUCUGAGACAUGUUUAAUUGCUUUGGUCUCAGAAUUUAUUUUGUUUGUUUGAAUACUAGUAAAUCUUUGAAGUUUCAGACCAACUAAAAAAUUUAAUGUGUCUAACUACUGUACAUGCACAAUUGAAUGAGUUUCAUUGUCGGAUGUAGGACUUGCUACAACUAUCCUUCCAAGGAAGACACCAAAUAUAGGGUACUAUUGACUAUUGAUUAUUCUGUACCGACUUAAAGUCUUAAUAGAUCCAAUAACUACAAUUUGAUUCAUUCAUAUUUUAUCCUAACCUCACAACAGAAAUAAAGAUAUAAAUAUAGUUAAGAGAAUCAUAAAUAAUCUCCUUGAUGUAUUGGUUAAACUAUCAAAACCAUUGCCUUCAUGAUCAGUGACGGAGUCAAAAAUUUUAUAGAACCUAGACAUUUUUCCGGCUUUUGUUGUGUUGUACGUGCGUAAUGGAAAAAUAUUAGAGUUUGGCCAUUUUUUUUGUUUUUAUAAAUGGGUUAGUGGACUAUUGAUUAUUCUGUACCGACUUAAUGUCUUAAUAGAUCCAAUAACUACAACUUGAUUCAUUCAUACUUUAUCCUAACCUCACAAUAGAAAUAAAGAUAUAAAUAAAGUUAGGAGAAUCCUAAACAGUGUCCUUGUUGUAUUGGCUAAACUAUCAAAACCAUUGCCCUCAUGAUCAUGAUCAGUAACGGAGUCAGGAAUUUUGUAGAUUCUAGGCAUUUUUCCGGCUUUUGUUGUGUUGUGUGUGCGUAAUGGAAAAAUAUUAGAGUUUGGCCUUUUUUUUUAAGUGGGUUAAUGGACUAUUGGACGAGUGCCUGGGGUCGUCGGGUGGUGUCUCCGCCAUUGCUCAUGACACCUGCUAGCAAGACCCAUAUAGUUAACCUAUGCAUCUUGAAUGCUGAUUAAAAAAAACUAAAAAUGAACGUUUUUAAGUUAAAAAUGUAACAUUUUACAUUUUUUUUAUGAAUUAUCGGCACAACUUUCAAUACAAUACUGCUAUACUCCUUCGGUUGUCAAUUAUAAACAAACUUUAAUUUUUAGAUUCAUUCAAUCAAUGAUGUAUAUGAUCCAUAGUAUUGAUCAUAUAUAUUAUUAAUUGAAUUAAUCUAAAAAAUCAAAAUUUAUUUAUAAUUAACAUCGAAGAAAGUAUUUGAUUCUUUAAUCAGUAUCCUCGAAGUAUAAUUAACAUUUCUCGAUAAAUAAAAAAGUACUAGUAGUACUAGUUAGUUGACUACAAAUUAGUUCAUCCUUUGUCCUAAGGAAGCUCACAAGCAAUUUAUAUGUACUAGAUACUGCAAACUAGUUCAUACCUUGUCCUAGAUAAUUGACUACAAACUAGUUCAUACUUUGUCCCAAGCAAACUCACUAACAACUUAUAUGUACUAGAUCUUGACCUCAAACUAGUUCAUACUUUGUCCUAAGCAAGCUCACAAGCAAAUAAAUAUUAAAAGAAAUAUGAAGUUAUGAAUUACUACUAAUUUACUCAAACUAUCAAUAAAAGAAACUCACUUCAUUUGCGGUCAUUCAACCAAAUCCUGCUUGUUGAAAUUGGAUGCAAUCCAUAUUCAACGAUUAAGAUUUGAUUGAAUAAAUUGAACUAUCAUGCAAAAGUCUACACUUUAUUUUGUCUAAAAUCUCUAGCCCUCUUUGAUGCUUCAUAUCAAAUAACGUAAUCGUUUAAGUGUGUUAAUAUAUAUGCUUACUAUAUUGAACCCCAAUUUUUUUUAUCUCUUUCCUUAUGUUGUUUGAAAAUUUAAAAAUAAUAUACAUAAAAUUCAAAUGGUAAAAUUGAAAAUACAUUUGAUAUGUUAAGAUAGAAUAUGUAAAUCCUUACUUUUUUAACAUGAAUUUCGCUACUAGACUUUUUGAACAAAAAAUAUAAUUAAAAUAAUAAUUAUUUUCUCUGAUCACAUUUAUAAAUAAAAAAUAAUUUUUUAAAUACAUUGAAUAAUUAAAUAUAUAACUUAUAAAUGUGACUAAAUACAUUAAUUAUUAAAUGUACUUAAAAAAAUAUUUUUUUCUUAUAAAUGUGACGAGAGUGAAUAUAAUACUUAUGUUCACCUCUUAUCAUGAUUGGUAUCCUUACAACUAAUUUUCUGCAUCCCCCUUUGUUCUCUCAAAGGGUCAUUCUACAAGAAAACGACUCCUGAACUUCAUUUUUACUCUAAAGGACAAACAAAAGUUACUUUUUUCAUUUUUUGCUUCCAUUCAUCUUUAGGAUAAACCUUUACUCUAAAGGACAAACAGAAGUUACUUUUUUUUUUCCCCUUCAUUUUUUUGCUUCCGUUCAUGUUUGGGAUAAACCUUUAUGUUGGCAUAUUAAAUGAUAUAUAAAAUGAUUUUAUAUUAGCUUUACAAUUAUACAUGAUCAGUUAUAUAGGACUAGUAACUUUACAACAUUUAACUAUUAUAAGUGAAUUUGCAUUUUCUAUCAUAAUUUGAAGUUUGAUUCAAGAUAAAUAAAGUUUGAACAAAAGUUAUUUCAAACAAAACUUGCACUCGUCUAAGCACUUUGUUUGCACGUUUAGAUGGCCCCAAAUAUACGUCCAAUGUCAAGCUACAAAUUGAAGCUUCCAUAUUUUCACGACAAAUAUACAUCGGAACAUAUGAAUUUUAGUCCUACCGCUGUUCCAAACAUCCACUAAACUGCAGUAAUUUUCCACGUCUAUUAAAAAGUUUAAUAAUAUACCUUUUUCAAAAUCACAAUAGAAUUGCAUAUGAAAAUUGUUGUUGACACUUCACAUAAGGUUGAAAAACACCAAUAAAAUACGCAAAUAUCAUAUCGGUAGUUAAAUGCCGUCGGUUGUGUUUAGGCUUAAUUAUGUGCAAAAAAACAUUUCAACAUGUUGUGUUAUGUGUUUUAAACUCAUAAUAGGUUCAGAAAAUGAAACUUCUUCCAAUGCAAAGACAUAGGACGCAUCAAUAGUUAACUGUUGAGAAAUAACAAAACUGACAGCAACUAAUUGCCGAGGAAAAAGCAUCCGACAGUUGUUAACUGUAGAAGGAUAUUUACGUUUUUUUACAUGUGUUUCAACCUUGUUCUUUUGGAGCCACAAAAGCCAAAUUAAAAACACAUUAACUAAAAUUUGAUUACCUUUUAGCAAUAUAUAAAUAAUAUUAUAUUUGAUGAACAGAAUAUUAAGUACUUAUUUUUUGUCAUGAACAGAAGAUUAAGUACUUGAUCAUGUGUGCUAGUGUCUGCAACUUGGGUAGUGUUAAAUCAAUCAUGCAAGAGUUGUCAAUUAAACAAUAUUUUGAAUGAUAUUGGCAAUUUGGCACUAUUAAGUCACACAGACAAAAAUCUAGCUUUACACAAAGUACAUGGUUUCUUCAGCUUUCUAGUUUCUUGGCAAUUGUGACUCUUACACAUAAACGACAUCUCCAUUACUGUGGAUGGGGGCACCACCACUGCCUUUCUACUUGUCCUCUUUCCACCUUUGACGCUCUGUAACACAACCUCUUUCUCUGUCACAAAUUGGACCACAAUAACUGAUAUAUUUCUUUAAUUUAUUCGGUCAUAAACACAAAUAAAAACUACGUAAUUUGGUAAGUGUAGUUCAAUUAGUAGUUAUCAAUGAUAUUAUAUGUAGGGGUUCCGAUUUAAACCUCAGAUUUUCCACUUAUCCAUAUAUAAUGUGUGUGAAUCUUACCAAUAAACUAUCUGACAAAAAAAAACUAACACAUAGAAAUGUGAAAAAUUUACAAAUGAAAGUAAAAGAAAAUGAUGUGCUUAGUCUACUUUUUAUUUAUUUUUAUUUAUGUGUCUAAAUUUUUUUAAUUUAAAUUAUGACUAAGUGAUAACUGUUCAUGUUAAUUAUUUGAAAAAUGUUUUUUAAACUUUAAAAUUUGACAUCGAACAUCAUAUUUCAACACAUUUUACGCCGUUUAUGAUUUUAAUUUUUCUUAGAAUCCAAACACACUGAAGCCGAGUCUAUUUUAUACGGUGUUAUAAACACAAAACAAAAAUAUUUAGGGCACACACAUAAAUGAAAUAUUUUACAAAUAAAAUUAAAAAUUUGAUGUGUUUAAUUUUUUUUAUUUGUGUAUUCAAAUAUUUUUGAUUUAAGUUGUGACUAAGUAAGAACUGUUCAUGUUUAAUAUAUGAAAAAAUGUUUCUCAGACUUUAAAAUUUGACAUCCGACAUCGUAUUUCAACAUAUUUUACACCGUUUAUGAUUUUAUUUUUUCUUAGAAUACAAACACACUGAAGCUGAGUCUAUUUUAUACGGUGUCAUAAACACAAAACAAAAAUACUUACGGCACACACAUAAAUGAAUUCUUUUACAAAUAAAAGUAAAAACGUUGAGGUGUUUAAUUUACUUUUUUAUUUUAUUUGUGUGUUUAAAUAUUUUUGAUUUAAGUUGUAACUAUUUAAGAACUGUUCAUGUUUAAUAUAUGAAAAAAAUGUUCUUCAAACAUUAAAAUUUGACUUCGGACAUCAUAUUUCAACAUAUUUUAUAAUGUUUAUGAUUUUUUUUCAUUAGAAU